rnacentral:rRNA from 1 species
CGAUACUUGGUGUGAAUUGCAGAAUUCAGUGAAUCAUCGAAUCUUUGAACGCACAUUGCGCCCUUUGGUAUUCCAAAGGGCAUGCCUGUUCGAGCGUCAUUUGUACCCUCAAGCUUUGCUUGGUGUUGGGCGUCUUGUCUCUAGCUUUGCUGGAGACUCGCCUUAAAGUAAUUGGCAGCCGGCCUACUGGUUUCGGAGCGCAGCACAAGUCGCACUCUCUAUCAGCAAAGGUCUAGCAUCCAUUAAGCCUUUUUUUCAACUUUUGACCUCGGAUCAGGUAGGGAUACCCGCUGAACUUAAGCAUAUCAAUAAGCGGAGGAA